GCCAUUGAUAGCUCAGUCAAUAGAGCACAAGGCUCUUAAUCUCAGGAACAUGGAUUCGAGCCCCACGUUGGGCA